rnacentral:tRNA from 1 species
GCGGUGUUGGCUCAGUGGUAGAAUUCUCACCUUCCAUGUGGGAGACCCAAGUUCUAGUCCUGGCCAAUGCA